AGUUUAAUUUUGAUUUUAAAAUUUUUUUAAUUUUUAAAUUUACAUGUAAAUUUUUGUGUUUAAUAAUAAUUUUUUAAAAAGAAAUUAUUUUAAAUUUAUUCACAGUAUAAAAUAUUAUAUAUAAAAUAAAUUUUGAUAUAGAAAUAAAGUUUAAAAUUAACAAAAUUUGUGCCAGCAGUUGCGGUUACACAAAUAAUUUAAAAAAAUUUUUUUUGGGAGUAGUUAAAUUAAUAUUUAAAAAUAAUUUAAAAUAAAUAUUUUUAGGUGAAAUUUAAAUUUUUAAAAAGAUUAUUAAAUAUUUUUUGAGACUAGUAAAUUUAAAUUUAAAACUAGGAUUAGAUACCCUAUUAUUUUAAACUUAAUUAAAAAUUCCAAAUUAGUAAAAGUUAUGUUCUCUAAAAUUAAAAAAUUUGGCGGUAUUUUAAUCUUUUCAGAGGAACCUGUUCUAUAAUUGAUAAUCCACGAUUAAUUAUACUUAUUUUAGAAAUUUAUAUAUCAUCGUAGGUUGAAUGUUUUAAAAGAAGUUAAUAACAUUCAAAAUUUUGAAUAAUAAAAAGAAAUCAGAUCAAGGUGUAGUUUAUAGAUAAGAAGAAAUGGGUUACAAUAAAUUUUAUUUAUGGAUAAAUUUAUGAAAUUAAAUUUUAAAAUUGGAUUUGAAAGUAAUUUUUUAUAUUUAUGAAAAAUGACUAAAGCUCUAAAAUAUGUACAUAUUGCCCGUCGCUUUUGUUUUAAGAUGAAAUAAGUCGUAACAAAGUAGAUUUACUGGAAAGUGAAUCUAGAUUUU
rnacentral:ncRNA from 1 species